rnacentral:lncRNA from 1 species
CUCUCAUCCAAUCAGAACAUGUAGUCCAGGAACCUAAUUUGCAUAACCUUUGUAAGCGAGAGUCUUGCCAUUCCAGGUUCUUCUACGUCUGCCCGCCCAUCUGUUCCGACCCCAGAUUAGAGAAGGAGUUGUCACCGGUGGCAUGCUGGAGGCUUGAGCCUGCAGCAGCAUGGCUCGCCUCACUGUGGCUGGUGGCAGUGAGGUAGAGUACAGCACAGCCAAAGUGGUAGAAAGGUGGCAGAGUAGGUGAGCUAUCCAGGGACUUGUGGCGGGGGGAGAGGGGCAGUGAGCUCAGGGGCCAAGGAUUGGAUGCACUAUCGUGAACUACACUGCCCAAGGCUUUUCUGGCUUUGCCCAUCCAGUUGCUCCGUGCCAGGAGAAGGAGUAGCCACCUGCACAUGCUGGAGGCUGGAGCCAGGGACACCACGGCUUGCCUCGCUGUGGUUGGCGUGGUGGCAGCGAUGGAGACUGCAGAGUGCCAGAGAGCCUGCACCACAGUGGAGGACAGAUUUCCAUUGAAUUCCAUUGGCUCCUCGAUGCAGAAAUAGGACUCUACUCCAAGGCGCAAGAAGGCUUAAGGGGCCAAGUUAAUAGAAAUGUAUAGAGCCGCCUCUUGGUGGGCAGCAUGUGAUGAGGAAUGAGAGUGGCAGCUUCUGAGACAGCCCAGCCCUCUGGGGC